rnacentral:rRNA from 1 species
UGGGGAAUCUUGCACAAUGGGCGAAAGCCUGAUGCAGCGACGCCGCGUGGGGGAUGAAGCUUCUCGGAGUGUAAACCCCUUUCGACCGGGACGAAUACCUCGCAAGAGGGGUGACGGUACCGGUAUAAGAAGCCCCGGCUAACUACGUGCCAGCAGCCGCGGUAAGACGUAGGGGGCCAGCGUUGCUCGGAAUUACUGGGUGUAAAGGGUUCGUAGGCGGUGUGGCAAGUCGGGAGUGAAAUCUCUGGGCUCAACCCAGGGGCUGCUUCCGAAACUGCCGUGCUAGAGUGUGGGAGAGGCGCGUGGAAUUGCAGGUGUAGCGGUGAAAUGCGUAGAUAUCUGCAGGAACACCCGUGGCGAAAGCGGCGCGCUGGACCACUACUGACGCUGAGGAACGAAAGCUAGGGGAGCAAACAGGAUUAGAUACCCCCGUAGUCC